AGGAAAGGGACCUUCCAAGCCAAGGACUUGAGAGCCUUUCACACUUAAAUUUGUUUAUCUGAAAAUGGUGAUUCUGUGCUUCUUGUCUGAUGGGGACUAAAUGUGAUACGUUACAUGAAGCUUUCAGGAGACUCUUGUGGCAAAUCAUCACCAGGGUUCUCCUGAAAGAGAAGGUGAUGUGGCCCAGAGCCCUUCCUGAGAAAGGCGUAUUCCUCAGAGAGGAAAGCAUAGAAGAGCUGUCAUGGAGAAUAUCUGGGGGCAGCUCACGGUCCAGGAAGACGCUUCGACUCUGUUGCUCGGUGCGGGCUUGCCGACAUGUGGGCACUGUUGUGUAUGUGCGUCUGGAUAUUUCUGAAGACGCCGGAAACAAUGGUGAAAAGUGUGGGAGGGUGAGGACCUGUAUUGUGUAACAAACUGGAGGCACCAAGGAGGCUGCAUUUGUUACAGAGAGACUGGAGGUGUCCCUUCCAAACUAUUCCUUUUGGACUGUGGUGUGAAAGUCUGCCUGCCAUCUAUGGAGACUUGAAGAGUUUGGUGGUAAGAAUUCUCCUUCCAAAUGCUAUUAGAUUUACUCAUCUUUUCCCAGUGAUAGUUUAAAUAUCAAGCUUUGGUAAAGUG
rnacentral:lncRNA from 1 species